CUCCCCCGGCUGCUCACUGCAGAGCAGAAGAAAGACGGCAGAGAGAGACACUACCUCACAGCUGUACAGCCUCUGCGGUCUGUAUAGGAGCUCAGUCCAGUCUGACAGUCUCCGACCUGUAGAGGCGGCCAUCAGUGCGAAAAAGAAGGUCAGAAGGAUUUAGUGGACAUUUAGUGGACAAUUUUGUGGAUACAACAAGGACGUAAAUUUAUGUGGUAAAGGAGUUCAGCAAAUCAGUGGCAGGAUUUGGCACCAUUUUGUAUGAGGCUACAAUAUACAAGUCAACAUGAAACUUUGGUAAUAGAAUACAGAGGUAAUACAAUAAACCUGAACAUUGCCAACAUUUCUAACAUAACAAAACUGUCAACCAGCCUAAAAAUAUUGCCAUCAGGAGGUCCACCCUUAGCUGUGCUGUGGCCUGAAGGUGCUGGCCAACAUCACUUGGAAGUCGUCAGCCUGCCGACGGUGAAGUCGGUGCAUGGUCCUAUUCAAGCGUUGCAUCUCCCAUGCAAGGUGCCUCGUCUCCCUGGACAACCUGUCCCUUUCUUGGAGUACCCUAAGAUCUCUCUGCCUCGGAUGUCUGAGCCUCUGGCAGGAGGUGCUUCUUCAAUUCCAGCUCCCAGUUCUUGAAGUUGAAGUUUUUUGACUACUGAUGCCCUGCAGUCAUAGUACCUGAUUGUGUUUUACAUAAAAUAGUUUAUUCAAGUUUAUCAUACCAUUUCCGUUUUAUGACAAUAAACUGUUUUGUUGAG